rnacentral:rRNA from 1 species
CUAAGAAUAUUCCGCAAUGGUCGAAAGACUGACGGAGCGACGCCGCGUGUAUGAAGAAGGCCGAAAGGUUGUAAAGUACUUUUAUUGCUGAAGAAUAAGUGUGGGAGGGAAUGCCCGCAUGAUGACGUUAGGCGAUGAAUAAGCCCCGGCUAAUUACGUGCCAGCAGCCGCGGUAACACGUAAGGGGCGAGCGUUGUUCGGAAUUAUUGGGCGUAAAGGGCGCGUAGGCGGUUUUGCAAGUCUGGCGUGAAAUCCUGGGGCUUAACCCCGGAAUUGCGUUGGAAACUGUGGGACUGGAGUCAUGGAGGGGGAGUUGGAAUUCCUGGUGUAGGGGUGAAAUCUGUAGAUAUCAGGAAGAACACCGGUGGCGAAGGCGAACUUCUAGCCGAUGACUGACGCUGAGGCGCGAAAGUGCGGGGAGCAAACAGGAUUAGAUACCCUGGUAGUCCGCACAAUAAACGAUGUGCACUAGGUGUUGGGCCGAGCGGUUCAGUGCCGGAGCGAACGUGAUAAGUGCACCGCCU